CGAGACCUGUACUUACAAUUGCUAACGAGCAGUUAUGUGAUCGAGCACAUUGUAGGGACUGCUCCCGAAAGGGAGAGGAAGGUGCAGGCUACGGUAGGUCUGUAUGCUCCGAAUCCUCUGGGCUACACGCGCGCAACAAUGGUAGUGACAAUAGGAUGCAACUCUGAAAAGAGAAGCUAAUCCCCGAAACACUAUCUUAGUCCAGAUUGUGGAUUGUAAUUCAUCCACAUGACGUUGGAAUCCCUAGUAAUCAGAAUUCAAAAUAUUCUGGUGAAUAUGUCCCUGCUCCUUGCACACACCGCCCGUCAAACCACCCGAGUAGGGUCUAGAUGAGGUCUUAUUUUUAAUAAGUUCGAAUCUAGGCUUUGCGAGGAGGGUUAAGUCGUCACAAGGUAGCCGUAGGGGAACCUGCGGCUGGAUCACCUCCU
rnacentral:rRNA from 1 species